rnacentral:lncRNA from 1 species
AAAAUGCAGAUGUCUGUCGAGAAGAAUGUGUGCUCCACAUGCGUUCUGUGCCUUAAUCCAUCGAGUUCUCCGUUGGGCGGGUUCUGUAUCCACAGUGUUGUGUUCAGGCGCGUGUUUACGUCUGUUGAAUGAUUGGAUGAAUGAAUGAACGAAUGAAAGGGGUUUUACGUUGUGGUUCGGGUCGGUUCGGGUGGUGGUAUCUUUUCGUCGAACACACACACACACACACACACACACACACACACACACACACACACACACACACACACACAUACACACACACAAUGAAUGUAUGAAUGAAAUGAGAACCGAGGACGGUAACCAGGCGUGUAGGGUUCCUGCCACUUCCUGGCCCAUAUACAGAAUUAAAACCAACACAGUAGUUACAGAGUUCCAUAAAGUUUCGUAAGUUCCUUCAACUACCGCGAUUCUGGAUGCCUGCCUGAGAGUUUCCCGCAAUUGGUCGAAAUUGCUCGAUAGAAGGGUUGAAAUUGGCACGGGGUCUACACCUGGGACAAGUUAAAUUGCCGGGACAGGCCCUUGAAUUGGCCUGACAGGGACACGAAUUGGCCUGGCAGGGACAUUCCAACAGUC